UCAACUGGAUUGUGCCAAUCGGAAAUGUGAAAUUUACCGUGCAAACCUUUAUUCAGUUUUGAAGGAUAUAGAGGACCAUAAGCAACAACUAUCAAUUAAAGUCCAAAACAUAAAGCUUAGCUUGAAGGACGGUCUCUGAAUUUCUCCUGUUGUGGUAUAUGUUCUGUAAUCCUGUACAUAGUUGGUCCUUCAAUUUUUAUUGUACACAAGAAUCUUCCUGGAAUUCUUUUCUAAGGAAAUCACCGUGUGCUCAUUUGGCAGGUGUAGCAUGUAGUGUUCUGUCCAAUAUCUUUAAAGUUGGCAGCACUUCAUCUCUAACUUAGUCUCUGAAUUUCACCUGUUGUGGUAUAUGUUCUGUAAUCCUGUACAUAGUUGGUCCUUCAAUUUUUAUUGUACACAAGAAUCUUCCUGGAAUUCUUUUCUAAGGAAAUCACCGUGUGCUCAUUUGGCAGGUGUAGCAUGUAGUGUUCUGUCCAACAGAGGCGGACCUACGUUGAGGCUUGAGGGGUCACGAGACCCCGUUAGCCUCGGCAAAAACUAUGUAUAUAUAUCUCUUGUAUAUCUCUUUGCCUACAGCUGUGACCCCUUAAAUAUUUUU
rnacentral:lncRNA from 1 species